CGCUCGACAUCAGAGUUUGUAUCCUGGCUCAGGAUGAACGCUAGCUACAGGCUUAACACAUGCAAGUCGAGGGGCAGCAUGAUCGAAGCUUGCUUUGAUUGAUGGCGACCGGCGCACGGGUGAGUAACACGUAUCCAACCUGGCUCAGACUCGGGAAUAGCCUUUCGAAAGAAAGAUUAAUCCCGGAUAGUAUGGUGAUUCCGCAUGGUUUCUCCAUUAAAGGAUUCCGGUUACCGACGGGGAUGCGUUCCAUUAGGCAGUUGGCGGGGUAACGGCCCACCAAACCUACGAUGGAUAGGGGUUCUGAGAGGAAGGUCCCCCACAUUGGAACUGAGACACGGUCCAA
rnacentral:rRNA from 1 species